CCUACGGGAGACUGCAGUGGGGAAUAUUGGGCAAUGGGCGCAAGCCUGACCCAGCAACGCCGCGUGAAGGAAGAAGGCUUUCGGGUUGUAAACUUCUUUUCUCAGGGACGAAGCAAGUGACGGUACCUGAGGAAUAAGCCACGGCUAACUACGUGCCAGCAGCCGCGGUAAUCCGUAGGGUGCAAGCGUUAUCCGGAUUUACUGGGUGUAAAGGGCGUGUAGGCGGGAAAGCAAGUCAGAUGUGAAACCCAUGGGCUCAACCUGUGGCCUGCAUUUGAAACUGUUUUUCUUGAGUACUGGAGAGGCAGACGGAAUUCCUAGUGUAGCGGUGAAAUGCGUAGAUAUUAGGAGGAACACCAGUGGCGAAGGCGGUCUGCUGGACAGCAACUGACGCUGAGGCGCGAAAGCGUGGGGAGCAAACAGGAUUAGAUACCCGAGUAGUC
rnacentral:rRNA from 1 species